rnacentral:misc_RNA from 1 species
AAAAACCCUCAAGCUUGAAUUCAUUCAUGACUUGGUAUUGGUAUUGGAGUGGACUUGAGCCAUUCCUAUCCGAAAAAUCCAUGGCAAAGUUGUCUGUACCAAUGAGCGUAGUAAUCAACAUUAUGUUUCGCUGUUGCAUAGAUCGUCUUUCGCCGUUAACCCCCCAUUUUAAGU